CGCGCGAGGGCAGGAGGGGGACCGCGCUGUCCGCCCGCCCCACGGGACCCACGCGAGGCCGGGAAACCAGCCCUGGGAUUCUCCGCGCCGGGCCGUGUCCGGGGUCCACGCCAAGCCUGGGGGAAGGCAGGCUGGCAGACACACAACCCAGGAUACAGAUCAACUUUUGCAAAAGAUGCGUCCCGCAUCCUUCCUGGGGCACCUGCUGUAAAUAGAAUGAAUGCCUCCAAGGAGUAAACAUUGCCCCUCGGUGCACCCAUUUCCCUGUCAAACCACUCUCAUCUCCCUGAAGAGAAGAUCCACUACCUAUCCCUUGGCUUGUUCUGCCUGGACACUUUUCCAGGCACCUACUGAAGUGUUGUACUUUCCACCUUGUGUCUGCUGUGUCUCCAGAGGGGAAGUUGGACUCUGAUCCACGCUCGAAUGGAUGCAGCGGUAGGGCUUCUACGCCAGCUGCGGUCGGCACUCGUCACAUGGAAAAUGUGGCUAACAGUGGUACCUCUUUCCAGAACUGUUAUAGAGUAAAUAAUGUAAAACUCUUCUAGUAAGUGAUGUCUUGAUUCCUGCUCUGACCAUGAUCUGAAAUAUCUAUAGCAACAAGUCACUAAAGGCCCAAAUAAAAAGCAGCUUAAUCUCUAAGUGUAUUGCCCAAGUGAACCAGAGGCAGGUGGUCUGAGCCUAGGACAGCAACUCCACAACGCCACCAAGCACCCAAUCCCCUUAGGACCUCGUGAUCACAAGGUAGCUCCCAUGACUCCGAGCACAGUGCUCUCUCUGCGUGAGGCUCUAUCUUUCCCAGAAGUUGUCCAGGAAACCUGCCUUUAGAACCCAUGGUCUAGACAGGAGUCUGGUUCUUCCCCUCAGCUGCAAGGGAGGCUGGGAAAAAAUACCUGGAGGCAGGAGUGAGUAAUCUUUUACAUGGUUACUAUUAUUUCUCAUAACAGAUUCCCAGAAGUGGAAUUUGUUAGAGCAAGAAAAAGUAAAUUCUAGGAAGAAUAUUACAGGAGCCAUUGGCGAAGUCUGCGUCUUGACACCAUUGUAAUCAAAGUUACAUUUUCUCAAUUUGAUACUUACACCGUGGUUGCAUAAGAGCGUGUCGUAAUUCUUAGGGGAUACACACUCAAGUUUUUAGGGUAGAGCAGAACGGUAUGAUGUCUGCAACUAAUUCUCAGACGCUCGUCAACGAGCACGAUGACAACGGUGGUAUUAAUAACAUUAAAAUAAGGUUAUAAAUAAUAAUGAAAAUAAAACAGUUGGUCAGUCAAGAAGAAGAUUAUGCAUAGAUUCCUGCUCUGUACAUCGGAAAUCUUUUCAAAAUGAAAGGUUAACGAUAAAAAAAAACAAAAAAUUACAAACACGAUUUUGACUUUGGUUAGUUUGUACCAGUUUACAAGCAAUGUUUAAAAGACUUUCGUUUUGGGGGCACCUGGGGGGUUAAAUGUCUGACUUUGGCUCAGGUCGUGAUCUCGUGGUUUGUGGGUUUGAGCCCUGCAUUGGGCUCUGUGCUGACAGCUCAGAGCCUGGAGCCUGCUUUAAAAUCUGUAUCUCCCUCUCUCUCUGCCCCUCCCCUGGCUUGUGUUCCCUCUCUCUCUCUCUCUCUCUCUCUCUCAAAAUAAAUAAAUAUUAAAAAAGAAAAAAAAUUUAAAGACUUUCAUUUUACCUUCAUUUAUACUAGCAUUUAUUUUUAGUUUUUCCAAGUUUACUA
ensembl:lncRNA